rnacentral:rRNA from 1 species
GAUGAACGCUGGCGGCGUGCCUAAUACAUGCAAGUCGAGCGAACAGACGAGGAUCUUGCUCCUCUGACGUUAGCGGCGGAGGGGUGAGUCACACGUGUAUAACCUACCUAUAAGACUGGUAUAACUUCGGGAAACCGGAGCUAAUACCAGAGAAUAUCUUGAACCGCAGGGGUGAAUAGUGAAAUACGGUUUUUCUGGCAGGUAUCGCUGGAUCCGCGCCGCAUUGGCUAGUUGGUACGGUAACGGCUUACCAAGGCGACGAUGCGUAGACGACCUGGUAGGGUGAUAGCCGACCUUGGAGGUGAGCCACGGACCAGAGUACUACGGGAGGGCGCAGUAGGGAAUGUUACGCAAUGGGCGAGAGCAUGACGGAGCAAUGCCGCGUGAGUGAUGACGGUCUCCGGAUCGUAAAGCUCUGUUAUUAGGGAAGAACAACUGUGUAAGUAACUAUGGACGUAUUGACGGUACCUAAUAAGAAAGCACCGGCUAACUACGUG